rnacentral:rRNA from 1 species
GCCUCCCUCCGCCGCCACUCAGACUCCUACGGAGGCGAGCAGUGGGGAAGUAAUUGGUACGAAUGGGGGAACCGUACGAUCCAGCGACGCCGCGUGUGUGAGAAGGCCUGCGGGUUGUAAGCACUUUUAGUUGGGACGAAAAGACUACGGACUAACACUCUGUGGUCUUGAUUUAACCAAGAAAAGACACCGGCUAACUCUGUGCCAGCAGCCGCCGCGGUAAUAC